AAAACUUUCAACAACGGAUCUCUUGGCUCUGGCAUCGAUGAAGAACGCAGCGAAAUGCGAUACGUAAUGCGAAUUGCAGAAUUCAGCGAGUCAUCGAAUCUUUGAACGCACAUUGCGCCCGCCAGUAUUCUGGCGGGCAUGCCUGUCCGAGCGUCAUUU
rnacentral:rRNA from 1 species